rnacentral:rRNA from 1 species
GAUGAACGCUGGCGGCGUGCCUAAUACAUGCAAGGCGAGCGAACAGAUGAGGAGCUUGCUCCUCUGACGUUAGCGGCGGACGGGUGAGUAACACGUGGAUAACCUACCUAUAAGACUGGGAUAACUUCGGGAAACCGGAGCUAAUACCGGAUAAUAUAUUGAACCGCAUGGUUCAAUAGUGAAAGACGGUUUUGCUGUCACUUAUAGAUGGAUCCGCGCCGCAUUAGCUAGUUGGUAAGGUAACGGCUUACCAAGGCAACGAUGCGUAGCCGACCUGAGAGGGUGAUCGGCCACACUGGAACUGAGACACGGUCCAGACUCCUACGGGAGGCAGCAGUAGGGAAUCUUCCGCAAUGGGCGAAAGCCUGACGGAGCAACGCCGCGUGAGUGAUGAAGGUCUUCGGAUCGUAAAACUCUGUUAUUAGGGAAGAACAAAUGUGUAAGUAACUAUGCACGUCUUGACGGUACCUAAUCAGAAAGCCACGGCUAACUACGUG